rnacentral:rRNA from 1 species
UACGGAGGAUGCAAGCGUUCUCCGGAAUUACUGGGCGUAAAGCGUCUGCAGGUGGGCUAUUAAGUCCUUUGUUAAAGCCUAAGGCUCAACCUUAGAAAAGCAAAGGAAACUAUUAGUCUUGAGGAUGGUAGAGGUAGAGGGAAUUUCCAGUGGAGCGGUGAAAUGCGUAGAGAUUGGAAAGAACACCAAUGGCGAAAGCACUCUACUGGGCCAUUACUGACAAUCAGAGACGAAAGAUAGGGGAGCAAAUGGG